GGGCCUCUAGCUCAACUGGCAGAGCAGCGGACUUUUAAUCCGCGGGUUCCGGGUUCGAUCCCCGGGGGGCCCA
rnacentral:tRNA from 11 species